rnacentral:rRNA from 1 species
UACGGAGGAUCCAAGCGUUAUCCGGAAUCAUUGGGUUUAAAGGGUCCGUAGGCGGUUUUGUAAGUCAGUGGUGAAAGCCCAUCGCUCAACGGUGGAACGGCCAUUGAUACUGCAAGACUUGAAUUAUUGGGAAGUAACUAGAAUAUGUAGUGUAGCGGUGAAAUGCUUAGAUAUGACAUAGAACACCAAUUGCGAAGGCAGCCCGCUACACGGUUAUUGACACUGAGGCACGAAAGCGUGGGGAUCAAACAGG